rnacentral:rRNA from 1 species
CGCGUAGGCGGCUAUAUAAGUCAGAUGUGAAAGCCCCGGGCUCAACCUGGGAACUGCAUUUGAUACUGUAUAGCUAGAGUUUGGUAGAGGGAAGUGGAAUUCCACAUGUAGCGGUGAAAUGCGUAGAUAUGUGGAGGAACACCAGUGGCGAAGGCGACUUCCUGGACCAAAACUGACGCUGAGGUGCGAAAGCGUGGGUAGCAAACA